AAUGCACCCUAAACCCAAAGAUCCUAUCAAAUAAAUGGUUUGAUCUUGUCUGGUGUGCUAAAAGUAGUACGUACCUUGUCGCCUUUCUCUGCUGCUGCAGUGCCUUUGAAAGUGAAUCCAAGGUUCUACAUCU